rnacentral:rRNA from 1 species
GAGAGAAAUAUAGAGUAAACGCGGAGUUGAGUGCCGGAUAGCGGCGGACGGGUGAGUWWCGCGUGGACAAUCUACCCUGUAGACUGGGAUAACACCUCGAAAGGGGUGCUAGAUACCGGAUAAUGUCAAGGGAUGGSAUCAUUUCUUGAAGAUAGGAGAARUCCGCUAUAGGAUGAGUUCGCGUCCCAUUAGCUAGGUUGGCGGGGUAAAAGCCCACCAAGGCGACGAUGGGUAGCCGGCCUGAGAGGGUGAACGGCCACACUGGAACUGAGACACGGUCCAGACUCCUACGGGAGGCAGCAGUGGGGAAUAUUGUGCAAUGGGGGAAACCCUGACACAGCGACGGCCGCGUGAGCGAAGAAGGCCUUCGGGUCGUAAAGCUCAAUAGUAUGGGAAGAUAAUGACGGUACCAUACGAAGAGCCCCGGCUAACUACGUGCCAGCAGCCGCGGUAAUACGUAKGGGGCGAGCGUUGUCCGGAAUUACUGGGCGUAAAGAGCACGUA